rnacentral:rRNA from 1 species
AUUGAACGCUGGCGGCAUGCCUUACACAUGCAAGUCGAACGGCAGCACGGGAGCAAUCCUGGUGGCGAGUGGCGAACGGGUGAGUAAUAUAUCGGAACGUGCCCAGUCGUGGGGGAUAACGCAGCGAAAGCUGUGCUAAUACCGCAUACGAUCUCUGGAUGAAAGCGGGGGACCGUAAGGCCUCGCGCGAUUGGAGCGGCCGAUAUCAGAUUAGCUAGUUGGUGGGGUAAAGGCCCACCAAGGCGACGAUCUGUAGCUGGUCUGAGAGGACGAACAGCCACACUGGAACUGAGACGCGGUCCAGACUCCUACGGGAGGCAGCAGUGGGGAAUUUUGGACAAUGGGCGCAAGCCUGAUCCAGCAAUGCCGCGUGCAGGAUGAAGGCCUUCGGGUUGUAAACUGCUUUUGUACGGAACGAAACGGCGAGCUCUAAUAAAGUUUGCUAAUGACGGUACCGUAAGAAUAAGCACCGGCUAACUACGUGCCAGCCGCCGCAGUAA